rnacentral:SRP_RNA from 14 species
AGGCAGCAGCCGCAGCGAUGAUGCUGUGUACGUGGA